CAGCCCAGACUGGCCGCUGUGGAGACGGGAAUGAGAAGGCUGGGAGGCUGGUCCGGACCCUGGUAACCAUUCCCUCUCUUUGAUGGACAGCGAGACUGAGGCUAGAUGGAGGCACCUAGCAAGCCAAAACAGAAAACCAAAACAGAAACACCUUCCCUUGCAGAUAUCCAGUGCAUCUCCCAACAGCCUGCAAAAGUAGUGCUGCAUGCCCUGUGGGGUGAGCCAGCCGGGGCUCAGAAGGGGCAGGCCACAGGCCAAGGACAUGCAGCGAGCUGUGCCUGCCCAAACAGGGCCUCAGGGAAAGUCUGAGGGACCCGUGAGGGAUCCAGAAGAGUCUUGGAGGAGGCUCAUUCCAGAACCACUCGUCCUGCUGAGAGCAGAAAGCCCACAUCUGCCACCUCAAUUCUGACCCAUCAGUUCCAGGGGGAUGCAGGUGCGCGAGCCGGGCAAGGGCCUGGGACUUCCACCUGGCAUCUUGACCCAGACUCUAGC
rnacentral:lncRNA from 1 species